AGUUGUAAUCUAGAGAAGUGUUUUCGCGCUGGACCGUGUACAAGUCCUUUGGAACAAGGCGUCAUAGAGGGUGAGAAUCCCGUCUACGACACGGACUGCCAAGCGCUUUGUGAUACACUCUCAACGAGUCGAGUUGUUUGGGAAUGCAGCUCAAAAUGGGUGGUAAAUUCCAUCUAAAGCUAAAUAUGGGCGAAAGACCGAUAGCGAACAAGUACCGUGAGGGAAAGAUGAAAAGCACUUUGGAAAGAGAGUUAAACAGUACGUGAAAUUGUUGAAAGGGAAACGCUUGAAGUCAGUCGCGUCUUCAGAAAUUCAGCAGGGCUUCUGCCCUGCGUACUUUUCUGUGGGACGGGCCAGCAUCAGUUUUGGCUGCCAGAAAAAGGUGGGAGGAAGGUGGCACCUCCGGGUGUGUUAUAGCCUCCGAUCGUAUGUGGCGGCCGGGACUGAGGACCGCAGCACGCCUUCAUGGCCGGGGUUCGCCCACGUAACGUGCUUAGGAUGCUGGCGUAAUGGCUUUAAGCGACCCGUCUUGAAACACGGACCAAGGAGUCUAACAUGCCUGCGAGUAUUUGGGUGGCAAACCCAUAUGCGCAAUGAAAGUGAACGGUUGGGACUUCUGUCAUGGAAGGCACCGACGCCCGGACCAGACCUAUUGUGACGGAUCCGAGGUAGAGCAUGUAUGUUGGGACCCGAAAGAUGGUGAACUUUGCCUGAGUAG
rnacentral:rRNA from 1 species